UGCUUGCUCCGUGGUGUGGUGUUGAGGAUAAAAAGAAUUACAAACUUAAUCCCUAAUCUCAAGGAUUCUCCAUUCUCAUGGGAGAGACAUAUGUACAACCAGUUAUCUGUUCCUGCUUAAGAAUGCCACAUGAUGAAAUUCACCAGAGAUGUUUGCCAGCAAAUAUAUUGACCCAUUAUAGAGCAUCCAGUGGGAUCCUUCCUUAUUGCCAUGGCACACAGAGAGAGCCCCAGUAUCACCGUGUAACAGAAUGUCCCCAGGAUGGCUUUGUGACUCGAUUAAUUCUUGGCAUGCUGGCCAGCCAUCUCAGAAAAGAGCAGUGACAAUACUCUCUAACUUGAGGG